rnacentral:rRNA from 1 species
CCUGGUAGUCCACGCCGUAAACGAUGAGUGCUAGGUGUUAGACCCUUUCCGGGGUUUAGUGCCGUAGCUAACGCAUUAAGCACUCCGCCUGGGGAGUACGACCGCAAGGUUGAAACUCAAAGGAAUUGACGGGGGCCCGCACAAGCGGUGGAGCAUGUGGUUUAAUUCGAAGCAACGCGAAGAACCUUACCAGGUCUUGACAUCCCUCUGACCGCUCUAGAGAUAGAGCUUUCCUUCGGGACAGAGGUGACAGGUGCUGCAUGGCUGUCGU